UGGGAAGGGUGUAGACAAAGAGGGCGUGGCCGGGGAAAGGAUGCGCUGUGUAGCUCAACCACCGGCUUGUGGUAGGUCUCUCGGCGGGCAGUUAAAGGCUGGGAUAGGCUCCUCUACCUCACGGUUGUGGGGCCUGCGUUAGCAGAGGACCUGGCGAGCGCUGAGUCCGGUCUCAGAGAAGAUACGCCAGUGAAGACUAUGGCUUCCACUUACUCCUUUCUGCCUCCUAGUGUUUACCCACGUGUCCCUGCAUGAUGUGGUGAGCCUCCUCCUACUUACAUUGGGAAAUUUGAUAUUGUGUCCAGAAUUGGUGGGUUCUUGGUCUCACUGACUUCAAGAACGAAGCCGCGGACCAUCACGGUGAGUGUUACACCUCUUAAGGUGGCGCGUCUGGAGUUUGUUCCUUCUGAUGUUCGGAUGUGUUCGGAGU